AUUGAACGCUGGCGGCAGGCCUAACACAUGCCAGUCGAGCGGAUGAAGGGAGCUUGCUCCUGGAUUCAGCGGCGGACGGGUGAGUAAUGCCUAGGAAUCUGCCUGGUAGUGGGGGAUAACGUCCGGAAACGGGCGCUAAUACCGCAUACGUCCUGAGGGAGAAAGUGGGGGAUCUUCGGACCUCACGCUAUCAGAUGAGCCUAGGUCGGAUUAGCUAGUUGGUGGGGUAAAGGCCUACCAAGGCGACGAUCCGUAACUGGUCUGAGAGGAUGAUCAGUCACACUGGAACUGAGACACGGUCCAGACUCCUACGGGAGGCAGCAGUGGGGAAUAUUGGACAAUGGGCGAAAGCCUGAUCCAGCCAUGCCGCUUGUGUGAAGAAGGUCUUCGGAUUGUAAAGCACUUUAAGUUGGGAGGAAGGGCAGUAAGUUAAUACCUUGCUGUUUUGACGUUACCAACAGAAUAAGCACCGGCUAACUUCGUG
rnacentral:rRNA from 1 species